GACGAACGCUGGCGGCGUGCCUAAUACAUGCAAGUAGAACGCUGAAGGAGGAGCUUGCUUCUCUGGAUGAGUUGCGCACGGGUGAGUAACGCGUAGGUAACCUGCCUGUUAGCGGGGGAUAACUAUUGGAAACGAUAGCUAAUACCGCAUAAUAGUAGAUGUUGCAUGACAUUUGCUUAAAAGGUGCAAUUGCAUCACUACCAGAUGGACCUGCGUUGUAUUAGCUAGUUGGUGGGGUAACGGCUCACCAAGGCGACGAUACAUAGCCGACCUGAGAGGGUGAUCGGCCACACUGGGACUGAGACACGGCCCAGACUCCUACGGGAGGCAGCAGUAGGGAAUCUUCGGCAAUGGACGGAAGGCUGACCGAGCAACGCCGCGUGAGUGAAGAAGGUUUUCGGAUCGUAAAGCUCUGUUGUAAGAGAAGAACGAGUGUGAGAGUGGAAAGUUCACACUGUGACGGUAUCUUACCAGAAAGGGACGGCUAACUACGUG
rnacentral:rRNA from 1 species